GACGAACGCUGGCGGCGUGCUUAACACAUGCAAGUCGAACGGAAAGGCCCUGCUUUUGUGGGGUGCUCGAGUGGCGAACGGGUGAGUAACACGUGAGUAACCUGCCCUUGACUUUGGGAUAACUUCAGGAAACUGGGGCUAAUAUCGGAUAGGAGCUCCUGCUGCAUGGUGGGGGUUGGAAAGUUUCGGCGGUUGGGGAUGGACUCGCGGCUUAUCAGCUUGUUGGUGGGGUAGUGGCUUACCAAGGCUUUGACGGGUAGCCGGCCUGGGAGGGGGACCGGCCACAUUGGGACUGAGGUACGCACCAGACGCCUACGGGAGGCAGCAGUGGGGAAUAUUGCACAAUGGGCGGAAGCCUGAUGCAGCAACGCCGCGUGCGUGAUGACGGCCUUCGGGUUGUAAACCGCUUUCGCCGGUGACGAAGAGUGAGUGACGGUAAUGGGUAAAGAAGCACCGGCUAACUACGUG
rnacentral:rRNA from 1 species